UGUGGGAGCGGGCUUGCUCGCGAUGCAAGCGCCUCGAUACGUCAGACAGGUCGAGGUGAAACUAUCGCGAGCAAGCCCGCUCCCACA
rnacentral:misc_RNA from 1 species